CACGCCUCACACCACUCUCCUCACAAAACAAAACCCUAUUUUUCUAACUUCCCACUCUCUUCAACUGUUCUCUUUGUCUCUUCUUUUUUUAUUUCCGUUUCCAUUUCCAUUUCCAUUUCUCAUUCCAAAACACACAAUCAACUAACACUUUGCAUAAAACUGUUGUUUCCUUUUCUCCUUUUUUUCCUUUUCAAUUUCCAAUUCCCAAAUUUCUCUCUCUGGAACCCUAGGUUUUGGAUUAGUUUUAUUUCCUUUUCAAUUUCCAAUUCCCAAAUUUCUAGGGUUUCUGUUUACGAUAAGCAUUCUUUGCCCUAAUAGGGCGAUAGCGAUAAUUUUUUUUUGGGUUUUUCAAUCGUGCCAAAUUCUUGAAUGGUUUUGUUUGUUUUGGUUAAUCGAUUGUUUUCGUGAAUAAUUUAUCUCUUCUGAGAGAGAUUAUGUUGUUCUGAGUUUUCAAGGUUUUGUUUGAAUCCAUCUUUAAUUGAAGAUAGAAGGUUAAAGAAGCUUUUCCUUUACGGCGUUGUCUUUUGUUACAAGAUUGGGGUUUGUUAAGGUGCUGAUUUCUUGUUUGAGUCUUGAAUUUGUGAUUAAUUUUUUAGGGUUAGACAGAGGAAAAUGAGAUGAGAGAAUUGGAUUGAGUAGUUUAGUAUAGUAUUCAAGAAAAGAAUGAAACACGCGCAAUACAUUCUUGAUCAAACCUCUGUGGAUGUUCGGUGGUUCGCUCAGUUAUCUUUAUUAUUUUCAACAUCAACAAACAUAAUCUCUUCUCUUUGCUACGAAAGAGCUUGUGAAGCGGUUAUAUCUUCUGCUUGCCGUAAAGGACUCUGAUGCUAAUGUUCCAAAAAAUCUAGAAGCCAGGGCAAAACCUGUUAGUGAAACAUUACCAUUCAGUGUUUUCACUCCAUACUAUAGUGAACCUGUGCUUUAUAGUACAUCUGAAUUGAAAUAGGAGAAUGAAGUUGGAAUUUCUAUUCUAUUCUAUCUUCAAAAGAUAUUUCCAGAUGAGUGGGUCCAUUUUCCUGAAAGAAUUGGUCGAGAUUCGUCUACCGAGGAUGCAGAACUUCAAGAAAAUUCUAGUGAUGCUUUGGAACUUCGCUUUUGGGCAUCUUAUCAAGGGCAGACUCUGGCUAGAACAGUGCGUGGUAUGAUGUAUUACAGGAGGGCUUUGAUGCUGCAGAGCUUUCUGGAGAGCAGAUCACCGGGUGGUAGUUAAAUAAAAACAUUAUUCUAAUUAAGCUUGGCAUGUAUAUUUGCUGACAUCGGCUGUAUCAACAGUGGACAAGUAUUCUCAGAACAGAAUAAUGUUAGCAACACACUCUUUAACAAA